AUGGAAUUUUCCAGGCAAGAAUCCUGGAGUGGGUUGCCAUUCUCUUCUCCAGGGGAUCGUCCCAACCCGGGGAUCAAACCCAGGACUCCUGCAUUUCGGGCAGAUCCUUUACCAGCUGAGCCACGAGAGAAGCUCGGUGCACAGUUGAUUACGUCAGUCAUGUCGAUUUUGAGUACCAGCACCCUACCUCCACCCUGCCAGAAGAGAACACUGCUUGCUAGGAUGUUUAUGACCUCUUCAUUGUCAGCUCCCAUGAACACGUGGUCUGUCUGCCUACACUUGGUCUCACCACAUAUGGUCCCUGAGUGACUAUAUCGAGUCCAGUGAAUUCAGCAUGUCUCUAUUUAGGUGAGUACAGAACAGCUCUAAGGGUAAGUACCAAGUCUAUCUCCUGAGCUCCCUUUGAGCCAGGUCAUGGUGCCUGAAUGCUCAGACUCUCUACAGAAGACAUCUCUAGACCAGACACCUCCACAUGGACAUCCCACCAUUCAGGAUCCUGAAGGGUACUGAUCAACUCUUCCCUUAUUCAUUCCCUAGUCCGUUUUUCUACUGAAUUCCCCAUCUUUAUUCAUGGUACCAUUCUUUACCCAUAAGCCCAUGGACACAGUCUAGCCUGUCUUCCUUAUGUCUAAUUGGUAACUGGUGUCUUGCCAAAACUUGACUCUGAAGCUCUCUGGGACUGGUUUCUUCCUCCCAUGCGCUCUGAUAUGCAGCCUCAGCAUCUC
rnacentral:lncRNA from 1 species